GCGGUGGUCACCUGUCCUGGUUUGCCUGGGACUCAGAACUUUACUGUAAAACUUGGACGGUCCCAGGGAACCAGGCAGCGUUUUCUCACACUCGC
rnacentral:miRNA from 1 species